CGUUGUCCGGGGAUCAGCCUUCCUUUUGGUUGUGUACUUCCUGGUUGACGGGUCAGCAUCAGUUUUGACCGGUGGAUAAGAGUGAGAGGAAUUGUGGCAUCUUCGGGUGUUUAUAGCCUCUUGUUGUAUACAUCGGUUGGAC
rnacentral:rRNA from 1 species